rnacentral:rRNA from 1 species
GACGAACGCUGGCGGCGUGCCUAAUACAUGCAAGUCGAACGCAUUUUCUUUCACCGUAGCUUGCUACACCGAAAGAAAAUGAGUGGCGAACGGGUGAGUAACACGUGGGUAACCUGCCCAUCAGCGGGGGAUAACACUUGGAAACAGGUGCUAAUACCGCAUAAUUCCAUUUACUGCAUGGUAGAUGGAUGAAAGGCGCUUUUGCGUCACUGAUGGAUGGACCCGCGGUGCAUUAGCUAGUUGGUGGGGUAACGGCCUACCAAGGCUGCGAUGCAUAGCCGACCUGAGAGGGUGAUCGGCCACACUGGGACUGAGACACGGCCCAGACUCCUACGGGGGGCAGCAGUAGGGAAUCUUCGGCAAUGGACGCAAGUCUGACCGAGCAACGCCGCGUGAGUGAAGAAGGUUUUCGGAUCGUAAAACUCUGUUGUUAGAAAAGAACAAGGAUGAGAGUGGAAAGUUCAUCCCUUGACGGUAGCUAACCAGAAAGCCACGGCUAACUACGUG